rnacentral:rRNA from 1 species
GACGAAGGGGGCUAGCGUUGUUCGGAAUUACUGGGCGUAAAGCGCGUGUAGGCGGUUGUUCAAGUCGGGUGUGAAAGCCUUGAGCUCAACUCAAGAAAUGCACUCGGUACUGGAUGACUAGAGGACCGGAGAGGAUAGUGGAAUUCCCAGUGUAGUGGUGAAAUACGCAGAUAUCGGGAAGAACACCCGUGGCGAAGGCGGCUCUCUGGGACGGUACUGACGCUGAGACGCGAAAGCGUGGGGAGCGAACAGG